UCCCUCCUGGAGGGAGGUGGUCUCUGCUCUGUGUCCUGAGGGGAGAUGCUUCUUUAUGUUUUGUAUCCCUGAGGGUCUGGGGUGCUAUUUUAAGUGGGAAGGGAGGGAAAAGAUAUUCUGCAUUGAGUAGGGUUGGCUACAGGCUCUGAGAUUCUGGUGCCCUGAUGAUGAACACAGUUUUCCCAAGACCUGAGGAUUUGCACGGGACCUGUGACAUGAGGAUUCCUUUCUUUCACCCACCUAGGGCUCCAAAUGCAGAGAAUCCCCUAAAUUCUGCAGAUUUUUACUGCUGCAGAUCCUCUGUCUUUCUCCUUGACUGCUCCUCACAUCAAGACAAGGACUAGCCCAGGGAGUUCUUUAGAGAAAAAAAAAACCUUAUGGAGCAGAAAUCUUUCUUCCCCUUAAAAUAAAUCAACAAGAGGAGAUUUAUAAUUUCUCCAGGGGGAAAAUUGCACCUGCCAGCCUGUUUUCUCAGGCCCCAGCUCUUGAAGCACUUGAGCACAAUUCCAGCUUGAAUUGCAGGAGUUUUCCUCCUGCCUGGCUCCCGUCGGAUGACUCAUGGCUUUCAAAGUUGGUCACGUCCUUCAGGAUACUGUGGAAUUGAAUGGAGCCUUUCCUUCCCUGUAGCUCAAGGAUAUGGGAUGGGAGCCAUCCUCCCUUCCAACCCUGCCUCCUGCCUGAGCUCAUGUCAAAAUGUUCUCCUUGGAAAGUUGCAGCGCAGUUCUGUUUGACAGACAGGAACACAGGGACAUGCUGGGUCCUUUGCCACGUUUCCCACAGGGAACAAUUUCACACCUCUUCAGUUUAAACAAGGGUUUCUCCAUGUCUUGUUUAACCCCCUUGCUGCCCUGCCACAGGAAAUAUUCCUGCGUGCCCUAAAUCUUCAUUUCCAGCCUUAGAAAGGGACAAGAGGCAGAGCUGAGAGAGCCUGGAUUUUAAGUAAGAGGGACACUUUGCAUCAUGUCUUGGAGCUGAUGGACUUCACCUACAGCUGAGCCGUGGGAUGAUGAGGGGUAGUGGUUUAGAACUAAAAGAGGGGAGUUUUAGACUCAAUGUAAGGAAGAAAUUUUUUACUGUGAGGGUGGUGAGGCCCUGGCAAAGAUUGCCCAGAGAAGCUGUGGCUGUCCCAUCCAGGAAAUGUUCCAGGCCAGGUUGCUCCAUGGGGCUUGGAGCAACCUGGGAUAGUGGGAGGUGUCCUUACCCAUGGCAAGGGGUAGAAAUGGAUGGGCUUUGAGGUCUCUUCCAACCACAGCCAUUCCUGGAUUCCAUGACUCUGGUUGGUCUGCAGUGCCAGGAGGAUCCUGCUUUGCCUUGUGCACCAUCAGCACCUGAAGAACAUCAGAUGGACUUGCAGGCCCAAGAGGGGAUUUUCACCACGGUGUGAACUCACAUCCACAUACUCUGGUGCUACCUCCCUCUGUCUCCCAAAUUCCCAAGAAAAUUGUAGCUGUUCCCUUUUCACUUUAGGUUUUGAGGUCCUUCCAGGAAGUUCAGUGAGCUCCUUUGUCCUGUGCCUUGCAGGCACUGGGGUUUUCCUGUUGUUCCCUCUGGGCUUGUCUUGACUCAGGGAUCUGCUCCAGCCUGCCAUGAAAUUCCCCCAGCUUGAAUUCUUUCUGCUCUUCUUGUCCAGGGAAAUCACAUAAAGGUGUCCUGCUUAUGGCACCCUUCACCAAAUGAGGAGAGCACUGCAGCCCAGUUGGAUCUUGGGGAGGGAUUUAGGGUUGUGCUCUGACUUUUAGGUCCUGAAUUCAAACUGGGGCAGUUGUUUCCAUCCCCCCACAAAAGCUGGGCAGAGCAGGAGGGGCCCUGACAGGUUGCCAGCAGGGCAAAUUCUGCCAUUGAGUUUUCCCAUCCCGUCCCUUCUCCAAUACCAGGAGACUGCCCUGUACCUUUACCCCAUGAGCCCUCUCUCAUGGCAGGAAACUCUUCUGGAUCAUAUAGUCUUCAAAUUUAAAAAAAUUACUUGUUAACCAUCCAAUUUCUCUGAGAGGAAAUUCUAUUAAAUCCCCAGAAGAAAGUGCAUUAUGGCUGUACUUUCCGAAGUAGACCCUUGAAUAAACUUUUUUCCUUAUUUCACGUAAGGAAAUUCACAUUUCCAUUAUUGCUGUCAUUAUGAAGCAGAUGAACAUUUUCUGGAACAAUUAGACGCGGGUGUGUGGAAUAAAGAGUGGAGUUCGCCUGAGAUCAUUGAAACCUAUCUGUUUGGGUGAUUCAUUUUCUUCCAACUAGGCUGCCCAUAAUAAGCUUUUCUUCUCUGGCUUUGUCUUGUUUCCCAUUUCAGGCAGCCACAAUGCCCGAAGAAUUGAAAGAAUGUCUUUCCCCAUGUCCUUGUGCUGCGACUGAGCCUGGCAAACAAAAAAAUAAAAUAUA